AAAGCUCAAAUUUAAAAGCUGGCGGUCUUUGGUCGUCCGCAUUGUAAUCUAGAGAAGUGUUACCCGCGUUGGACCGUGUACAAGUCUCCUGGAAUGGAGCGUCAUAGAGGGUGACAAUCCCGUCUUUGACACGGACUCCCAAGGCUUUGUGGUGCGCUCUCAAAGAGUCGAGUUGUUUGGGAAUGCAGCUCUAAAUGGGUGGUAAAUUCCAUCUAAAGCUAAAUAUUGGCGAGAGACCGAUAGCGAA
rnacentral:rRNA from 1 species